UUAUUUGGCGCUAAAUAGUCUCUUGGGCGAAAAUUCGCGAGUUAUUUACUCGCGCGAGUGACGCGAAUUAAAUUCAAUUCUCGCGCGAGUACGCGUCCGGUCUGAACACACGGACGUGUUGCGGCAUUGCACUAUUUCUGAUCCGAGGCCUUUUAGGGGAGCUCCGCCCCAUUGUGUGGUAGGCCUAAACCUGGUCAGUAACACAAUUCACUCUGGAUUUCCACUCAUCUCAUCUGGCGUUGUUGAUGUCGUCGCUGGUCGUGUUGGCGUCUCCGUACGUCUGCGUCCAUUUGUCCAGCUGUUCUUUGAUUGGUCGCAGCGCAUCGUUCACCUGUGAGGCCGUCGUGUUCGCCAAGUCGGCCACUCGCUUCGCCUCGUUGAUCUCAGAGCUCACAUCUGAUGUCAGAGAGACACGGAGACAUUCAGAUGGUUCUUCAUCACGUCGGCCUGUUUGGUUUUGGCGUCUUCAAGUCUCUUCUGAGCAUUUUCCAGCUGCGGCUUCAGCUCUGCAUUAGGAAGGUACUUCAACUUAUAAAAACAGCAAUACUCAUAUCGACGUUGCUUAAAAAUUAUUCAUGUAAACAUGUUUGUUUACCGUUGACAAGCUCCUCGUUGAGCUUCUCCACUUCGCUCUGCAGCUCGAUGCUGUGGUUCCUCAGAGUGUCGGCCUGGUAACCAAGGUCCUUCUUCUUUAUGUUCUGCACACAAACACAGAAACAAGUUCAUCAUGAUGAGACAGCUUCUGAGUUGUGCCUGCCGAUGUGUCCAUACAGGCAGGAACAUAAAAGAAUUACUGGAAGUAUAAUAAAAUGUCUUUAUAGUUAUCGUAUGGAUGGAUUUUAAAUGAGUGCAGAGUCACUCCAAGGUAGUUUCUGAUUCAGCUAUCAAUAUGGUUAAUGAUAGGAAAAGUUUUUAAAAGUAUAAUUUUAAUGUUUAUUUGACUUUUGGUGUGUAUAUGCAGGCUCGUAUAUUUCUGUAUUUACAGAUGUGUGUAUACAUAUUAUCACUCUUAUGAUAAAUAUUACUACUUAUGUAUAUACUUUAUUUAUUUUAAUUUCUAUAGAUUUUUAUCCUUUUUUUUUUAAAUAUUAAGUUUUUACAUUGUUCAAUUUUUUAAAUUAAAUUUAUAAUAUACAUUUAAAAAAAAGUUUAAUAUUUUAUUUAUAUGUUGGUUUCUUCUUUUUAUUCAAAUGAACAAAAUAUGAAAGAAAAAUAAUGUGUGUGUGUGUCUGCGUUUGUGUCUGCAUGUGUGUGUGUGUGUGUGUUUGUGCAUGUGUGCGUGCGUGCAUGUCUGUGUGUGUGUGUGUCUCGUACCUCCAGCGUGGUGUUCGCUGCCCUCUCAGCGGUCUUGGCGGCGUCCUCGGCCUCUUUGAUGCUGUUGAUGAUCUUGUUGUAAGCCUGAGUCACGUCCACAAAUCCUUCUUUCUUCGCUUCUUCAACCAAACUGAGGCAAACAUCAUAAACAUAAUGUAAAAAAUAAUGUAACCUAUGACAUUACAACAUUUACCUGUGGUGAAUGCCCAGCAGUGUGGUUGUAUAUACAAAUAUAAUAAAAACAAGUAAUUUUACAGAAAUAUACUGUAAUUGUUGUAGUUUUUUCCUAAAAGUGCAAAUCUCAAAUAAAAAAGGAAUAAAACAUUUUUUUUCAACAAAAUAAAUACAAUUUAGUAUGGAUCAAAAUGUUACAUGAAAUGAAAUGUUACAAAAAAAAUAUGACGAUGAUAAUCAUAAAUAUAACAAUAAUAAUAAAUGAAUAAAUAAUAAUGUAAAAAAUUAAGUAAAUAUUUUUUAUUUACAGAAAAGUAGAAGAUAAAACAACUGUGGAUUUAUUCUAAUUUCUCAAUGGUCUUGGAUGUUAAAUUACAGUGAAUUAUGUGUAAAAAAUACAAAAAGUACACAUCACAUUGCUGAAUGUAAAAUAAAGGAAACUCUGUUUUCUUACACUAAAACUUUAAAUCUAAUGAAAUUCUAAUUUCAAGAAAUUGUAAAAAAAG